rnacentral:rRNA from 1 species
AUACGUAGGUGGCAAGCGUUGUCCGGAAUUAUUGGGCGUAAAGCGCGCGCAGGCGGCUUCUUAAGUCUGAUGUGAAAGCCCACGGCUCAACCGUGGAGGGUCAUUGGAAACUGGGAGGCUUGAGUGCAGAAGAGGAGAGUGGAAUUCCACGUGUAGCGGUGAAAUGCGUAGAGAUGUGGAGGAACACCAGCGGCGAAGGCGGCUCUCUGGUCUGUAACUGACGCUGAGGCGCGAAAGCGUGGGGGGCAAACAGGAUUAGAUACCCUGGUAGUCCACGCCGUAAACGAUGAGUGCUAAGUGUUAGAGGGGUUAAACCCUUUAGUGCUGUAGCUAACGCGUUAAGCACUCCGCCUGGGGAGUACGGCCGCAAGGCUGAA